rnacentral:rRNA from 7 species
AAAUUGAAGAGUUUGAUCAUGGCUCAGAUUGAACGCUGGCGGCAGGCCUAACACAUGCAAGUCGAACGGUAACAGGAAGCAGCUUGCUGCUUCGCUGACGAGUGGCGGACGGGUGAGUAAUGUCUGGGAAACUGCCUGAUGGAGGGGGAUAACUACUGGAAACGGUGGCUAAUACCGCAUAACGUCGCAAGACCAAAGAGGGGGACCUUCGGGCCUCUUGCCAUC